ensembl:sense_intronic Gm43259 predicted gene 43259
UAUUAGAAUGCAGUCAGUAUUUUUGGCAGACAUUUUAAGGGUGUUUUAAAAUGAAAUAAUUAGAGAUGACAGUCUUAGAAGUAGCUGUUGUUUAUAAAUGUGAUUCAGGGGGCUUUUCUAUCACCACUUUUUAUCUCCCUGACACCUGGUACAUUCAUUACACCCUUCUGGCACUCACAAAGCUGGGCAGGUUCUGAGCUGGCCUGGCCUACUUCUCAACCGACUUCCCAGCCGUGUGUCCUGUUGCCUGCCAUCCUGGUCUCACGCUGACCUCCUUCUUCAUCUGUGUCAUCAUGGGGACUCCUCAGCUCACCUGAGACUCUCUUUCUCUCUCAAGGCAUGGAAGUCCCAUAUUUUUCCUGCCCAGCUAAAAGGCUAAUCAGCUCUUUAUUGACCAACCAGGAGAUGAUGGAGAACAGUGGUUCACAAAGUACUGAGCCAGGAAAGGCUCCUAUUUUCUCUUGUCUCCACUCUGCUCAGCCUGAGUUUUACAUACUACUGUCGGAAGCUCAGCGUUGCUUUGCAGCCUUUUCCUUUCACCUUUCUCUUACGGAACUAAACUUACCUAUUAAUACUUAACAGUAAUAAAAUUGGAAGUGAGGCAAGUAUAUGUCACUUUUAAGCUGAUUAUUACUUCAGUCAUUCUUAGCUAGUUAAAUAUCUUACUUUUCUACAUCCUUGUUUCCCAUUUUUUAUUUCCUGCUUGUCUCAUUAGCUUGUGAUUAAUGUAUGGUUUUUAGUCUUUUCUUUUCUAGAUAAUCAAAAUAGAACAUAAAAAAGGACUUCUGAAUUUUUUUCAUUCACUUUCUGUUUGUGCUUGUCACGGGCACAAAUACUUCCCUAACUACCUAUGUAUAUGUCGAAUAACAUAACUAAAAAUUUUAACCAUGUAAUUAUUCUUUUAGUCCAUAAGAAUAUGGGAUUACUCCUUUUUCCUACUUGUAUGUUAGACACCAUUGUUAGUGGUUCAGAAGCUAAAAGAGACUGUUCACAAUUCUCGUCCAGUAUAGUCUUCAGCAUUUACCUGCAGUGCUUUAAUUUUUUAAAAAAAGAGUUAGUAUAUAAAGUAAUGGGUUUUGUUAUGGCAAUUUUAUACUUAUAUGCCAAUAUACUGCAUUUUAAUUUAGCUCUUUUCUCCACUGCUCUUCCUUGUGCUCUCUGUCCCUCCACUCUCACUGGUUCCCUUCUUUCCAGGCCAGUGGUCCGCUCUUCCGCUUCAGGGAACAGUAUUUCAUUGGCCUCUCUUUCCCCUCCCUUAAGAUCUUUUCCUCUCCUUUUAUGAUUUCCUUUCUAGUUUCACACCUCUAUUUCUGUGUCUCUCUGGCUAUCUCUCUGUCUGUGUCUGUCUGUCUGUCUCUCAAAAUAUUCAAAUCUAUUUUCUUGAUCUGAGAGAAAAUAUGCUAUAUGUCUUUUGAGUCUGGCCUAUACUGUGUAACAUAAUGGAAGUCAUUCCUUUUAAAAUUAGAGCCUUUAUAAUCUGUUAUUUGCCUAACUUUCUGGCCCCUUCACUUGUACUUCCCAUUGCUAGUGCCAGCCAGCUCAUAUAAUUGUAGUUCCUUAAACAUACUCAGUUUUCUCUUCUGUGCCUUUGGAGUGCCCUUUACUUGGACUGUUAUUCUGCUGUUUCUGGUUCCCUUUCUUGUCAUCUGACAGCUGUUUCAAGCCUGUUUGGUGGUUAUUGACUGGAGUCAUUUCGUGAUGACUCCUCACUUUCUGUGCUCCCAUAGUGUCUCCAUUGUUGCCUUUAAAAUUAUACUGUAUUGUUUGUCACCUUGUGUGACUAUAAGCUCUAUGGGAACACAAAUGGAGUCUUUCAUUUCUCCCUGCAUUGGACAGAACACUGUGUUCAAAUGGAAGCAGGAAAAGAAACUGAACUUGAGUGUCUUUCAUGUGCCAGAAAAGUUAAGCUUAGGUAUCUAGAUACAAUAAAUUACGUUAAGUUGUCCCAAUAACUUUCUAAAACAUAUGAUUGUACCAUAUAUUAUUUUGCAUUAGCUGCAUCUUAUAGUUAGAAAUCUGAAGUUAAGUAGUUUGUCUAGUAGUUAAGUGUUAGAACUGGGGCAUAAGAAAAGACACAUUUUGACUCUAUAAUUUCUGGUAUUUCAUUUCUGUCAUACUGCUUUCUUAACUAUAUAGAUGUAUUAAUGGAGAUGAUGAGGUAUAGUGGUUUAAAGACCAUCUAUAUAGUCAUCAUGCAAAUGUGAGUUUACAUUUGAACUUUACAUUUAGCAAUUUUCAGAAUCUUAAUCUACGUAAACCAAAUUUUCUCUUUAAUUAUGAUUGAUAGCAUUAUUUACUUCAUAGGAUUGCCCUUAGAAUUAAAUAAAGGAAUGCAUGAGGACAGUUUUAUGCUGUGUUGGGUACAUAACACAUAUGAGUGAAUUGUAUCAGGUAAGGAUAUUUAUAAACAGCUUAUUGACUAGCACUAACUUUAGCAAAAUAAUAAAUAGUAAUAAUAAAAAGUUUUGAGGUAGUCUUCAGUGGGUAACCUCUUUCACAUUAUUGUUGGGUAUCUGUGAAGUUGCAAGUGUUAGCCUGCAGCUGGAGUAAAUGAGAAAGAAGGAAGAGUAGGUAUCAGCCAUGUCUGUAUAUCUUACUAGAAGGGAAAAAAAGCCUUUUAAAGUUCACAUUAUAUCUCAGUUCUGAAGUUGGUUUUGUGGAAGACUGUAGUAAUUUAAUUGUUCUCCUAAUUAUCUAAACUUUAAUGAAAAAGAUCAAGAAAGUGGAACAUAUGUUUGAGAUUAGAUCAUCUUUCUUCUCGAGGGAGAGCUCAUGGCUCCCUCACCUAAAGUUAAGGAAAGUAUCUUCCUCAGUGAUUGAUGGUGGGGUUUUGUAAUGAAACAGCCCAAAAAACUGUUAUACAGUAUGUUUAUUCAUAAUUUGAAGCAAUAAAAGAGCAUUAUGCAUUGUUUCAAUUCAUAUCAAGGAAAAUCUAAGAGUAAAUUAACUGUGUUCCUAUAUAAUAUUUAGGUAUUAACAUAUUUUUACCACCCAAGUGUGAGGAGCAGAGUUAGAUCCUCAGAACUUAUGGAAAGCGGGGAUAUACUGGUAGCAUAAGUCUGUGUCUCAGGGUACCUAUGCCAAGAGGGGAAUGAGAAACAUGAGGAUCACUGGAAGCUCAGGUUAGCCUACCUGGUGUAUGCAUCUGUGAUCAACAAGAGAUCCUACCUUCAGACAGGCUGGAAGUCAAGAAUUGACACCCGAGGUUGUCUUUUGAUCUCCACAUGAAAUGCUUAAGUGCCUGUGCACCUGUUACCUCCAAACCCCUUCUCACAUU